rnacentral:rRNA from 1 species
UACGAAGGGUGCAAGCGUUACUCGGAAUUACUGGGCGUAAAGCGUGCGUAGGUGGUUUCUUAAGUCUGCUGUGAAAGCCCCGGGCUCAACCUGGGAAUUGCAGUGGAUACUGGGAAGCUAGAGUGCGGUAGAGGGUAGUGGAAUUCCCGGUGUAGCGGUGAAAUGCGUAGAUAUCUGGAGGAACACCGGUGGCGAAGGCGGCAUCCUGGACCAACACUGACGCUGAGUGAGCGAAAGCCAGGGGAGCAAACGGG